GGAUGAUGUCAGUUCAAAAGGCUGACUCCGACUGAAGAAUUAACUUCAGUCGAAACAUUAUAAAGAUAGACAAUGUUUACAGGUUGCAAAAGAAUUAAGAUUACAUAAUAAUAAAGUUGACAAAUUUUACAAACAUAAGAUUAACACUUUAAAGUAACAAUGGACCGUAAUUGAAAAACGGAUUAAUGUCAUUGUUAUCAUACAUGUCCUGGAC
rnacentral:lncRNA from 1 species